rnacentral:rRNA from 1 species
UACGACUACAUAUCAGGCAUAUCAAUAAGCGGAGGAAAAGAAACUAACUAGGAUUCCCUUAGUAACGGCGAGUGAAGCGGGAAGAGCUCAAAUUUGAAAUCUUCAAGGUUCUACCUUGACGAAUUGUAGUUUAAAGAAGUGUUUUCUGUUGGAGUUUUGGUAAAAGUUCUUUGGAAUAGGACAUCAUAGAGGGUGAGAAUCCCGUAUUUGACCAUUUCUUCCAGCUGUGUGAUACACUUUCAAAGAGUCGGAUUGUUUGGGAAUGCAGUCCAAAAUGGGUGGUAAAUUUCAUCUAAAGCUAAAUAUUGGCGAGAGACCGAUAGCGAACAAGUACCGUGAGGGAAAGAUGAAAAGAACUUUGAAAAGAGAGUUAAACAGUACGCGAAAUUGUCAAAAGGGAAGCGUUUGACACCAGUGUUGUUUUCUCGAAAAUCAAUUAAAAAUGAGCCUGGAUUUUGUGUUGUAUUGACUUUAUCAGCUUUCUGCACUUUUUUCUUGUCUUUUUUAAUGCACUUUUCGUUUAACAAGUCAACAUCAAUUUCUUUUGUUGUAAAAGGGUCAUUGGAAGGUGGCUUUCACUUCGGUGAAAGUGUUUAUAGCCUUUGACUUCUGCAAUCGGAGAGAUUGAGGUCUGCAGCGUAGAUCCUUCGGGGUUAGAUACAUUUGUGCUAAGUUAUAGUUCUUCAUAGACAACAUGUUGACUAUGAUUAAUCAUGUAGCUUACUCGCUUAUGCUAUUUUACCUACGCUUAGGAUGUUGAAUCUGUGCGAGACUAC